CCUACGGGGGGCUGCAGUGGGGAAUAUUGGACAAUGGGCGAAAGCCUGAUCCAGCCGUGCCGCGUGUGUGAAGAAGGCCUUCGGGUUGUAAAGCACUUUCAGUGGGGAAGAAAGCCUUGGGGCUAAUACCCUCGAGGAAGGACAUCACCCACAGAAGAAGCACCGGCUAACUCCGUGCCAGCAGCCGCGGUAAUACGGAGGGUGCGAGCGUUAAUCGGAAUUACUGGGCGUAAAGCGCGCGUAGGCGGUCUGAUAAGCCGGUUGUGAAAGCCCCGGGCUCAACCUGGGAACGGCAUCCGGAACUGUCAGGCUAGAGUGCAGGAGAGGAAGGUAGAAUUCCCGGUGUAGCGGUGAAAUGCGUAGAGAUCGGGAGGAAUACCAGUGGCGAAGGCGGCCUUCUGGACUGACACUGACGCUGAGGUGCGAAAGCGUGGGUAGCAAACAGGAUUAGAUACCCUAGUAGUC
rnacentral:rRNA from 1 species